rnacentral:rRNA from 1 species
CGAACGGCACGCGGGCUUCGGCCUGGCGGCGAGUGGCGGACGGGUGAGUAAUGCUUGGGAAUCUGCCCAGUAGUGGGGGACAACACGGGGAAACUCGUGCUAAUACCGCAUACGUCCUACGGGAGAAAGCAGGGGAUCUUCGGACCUUGCGCUAUUGGAUGAGCCCAAGGUCGGAUUAGCUAGUUGGUAGGGUAAUGGCCUACCAAGGCAACGAUCCGUAGCUGGUCUGAGAGGACGAUCAGCCACACCGGAACUGAGACACGGUCCGGACUCCUACGCGGAGGCAGCAGUGGGGAAUAUUGGACAAUGGGCGAAAGCCUGAUCCANCAAUGCCGCGUGUGUGAAGAAGGCCUGCGGGUUGUAAAGCACUUUCAGCAGGGAAGAACAGCGCAGGGCUAAUAUCCCUGUGCUCCUGACGUCACCUGAANAAGAAGCACCGGCUGACUCCGUGCCAGCAGCCCGCGGUAAUACGGGAGCGGGUGCGAGGCGGUUNAUCGCGAAUUNCUGGGGCGUAAAGCCGUANCGUANGUGGGCUUUGAUAAGUCNAAUUGUUGAAANCCCUGGGGCUUUAACCUUGGGGAACCUNGNAUUCCGAAACACUGGUCUUGGCCUANAA